AUUGAACGCUGGCGGCAGGCCUAACACAUGCAAGUCGAGCGGGGUUUUCGGACCUAGCGGCGGACGGGUGAGUAAUGCGUAGGAAGCUACCCGAUAGAGGGGGAUACCAGUUGGAAACGACUGUUAAUACCGCAUAAUGUCUACGGACCAAAGUGUGGGACCUUCGGGCCACAUGCUAUCGGAUGCGCCUACGUGGGAUUAGCUAGUUGGUGAGGUAAUGGCUCACCAAGGCGACGAUCUCUAGCUGGUUUGAGAGGAUGAUCAGCCACACUGGAACUGAGACACGGACCAGACUCCUACGGGAGGCAGCAGUGAGGAAUAUUGGACAAUGGGCGCAAGCCUGAUCCAGCCAUGCCGCGUGCAGGAUGACGGUCCUAUGGAUUGUAAACUGCUUUAUACAGGAAGAAACACUCCGACGUGUCGGAGCUUGACGGUACUGUAAGAAUAAGGAUCGGCUAACUCCGUGCCAGCAGCCG
rnacentral:rRNA from 1 species